CGUAUCAGAAAAUUUCAAUUUUAAAAUAUAAAAUAAAAAUAAAAAUGGAAAUACGCAAAACUGUACGGUUACAAAUUCCCAGCACUUGGUCCCUUCAGAAAUGGGUUGGCUUUCAUUUCUUCAACUGCAAUCUCUUCAUCCUCUUAGCAACAAUAACCCAAAGCUACACAUGAUAGAUGUAUUUUCGUGAUAUUUUCAAUAUAUCAUGAAAAUCGAAAGAGGUAAGAUUUUGUUUAGCGGGGUUAAUAGAAAGAGGUGAGAUUUUCUUCUCCUUUUACAUUACUCAAUUUGUCAUAUUUAUAUUUCAUUUCUACUUUUUCUUCUGGAAUUUCAAAAUUUAGCAGUCCUCUUUGUUUUUGUUUUUCCUUUUUAUUUUUAUUUUUUGGCUCCUUUUUGCCACUUUUGUUUUGAAUCUGGUAUAUUGACUACAAAUGCGAAGGUAUUCCUAGCGUGUAAAGGUUGUUGGAAUAAAAUUAGUGGUUUUAAGGUCUCUCUAACAAUUGGAAAGGUUUCUAUGAUACUUAGUGUAAAGUAAGCAAAGUAAGUGAAUCAACAGGAGGAAAGAUCACAUUUGGUCUAGGAGCCGAAAGAGCUCAACUGACUUAGUUGUAGAGGGCGACUGAAAAGGAGGCUAGACACAGUGAGAGCGGUGGACAGAGAGAGAUUGUGAAUGAGUAAAGGAAAAGUCAUCUCAUGACCAAAACUAAAACCAGUCAACUUGCCAAUCAACUGACCUGCUUUCCUACCCUUUCAAUUUCACUGUUUGGGAGUAGAAGAUCAGGAGAUUCAAGAGAAUGGUUUGAAAGCCUCACUUUGUGGAGAGGACUGGGUACAAUGGACAUAAUUUAGUGUCGCGAUAUAAGUGCUAGAACAUUUGAGACAAGUUCUUAAAUUUGUUUACAGUGCAUUCUUUUAAUUCCAUUUGAAUCUAAAGUUUACAAGUAUCUACGGAAAAAGAAUAUUCAUCGGUAGAUUUGACGUUCACCUAUUGCAAGCCAAUAUGCUAAAGUUUUUGGUAGCUGGAUGAAAAUGAUGCAAUAUGCGUUAAAGCUUUUUUUAGUUGAAUUACUUCUUUAGCAAAGUAUACUUAUUUUGUUCUUUGCUAUUGCCCAUCUUUUCCUUUUUUGUUCGUUGGUCGAGGAAAUUGUUGGCUCAACUGUUCAUUUUUUUGUAAAAAGGAAAGGCAUAUAGUAGAAUCUCUUUGUAUAAAUAUUGUACAAGCACUAAUGUGUGCUCUUUCAGUUUUCGUCCAGGUAUUGGCAUGGGGUCACUUGGCAGUAAUCUCAGCUUCGAGCGAAGCUCUUCCUACUCUUAUGGCAUGUGUUCUUCUUAGCAGUGUUAGAGCAUCCAUUACAGAAAAUAUGACAUUUACUACUUUGACUAAUGCGGGUGUGACACAAGAAGUUUGUUCCUACAAAUACAAUUGGUAGUUUGUCGCCAAAACAUGGGACCUGUUUCCACUCAAACUAAGGUCUAUAGGAGAUAAUGAUGACCAACAAUUUUAAAGGAAGUUGGCCUGGAUAGCUCUUCAACAUGUCCUUAUGAUUCUGUAGUUUCAGAUUGGCUGAGGAAGCAGCCUGUAGGAGGUAUUCCCUUCCAAAUUCAUACAAAAAAUCCCUCUUCCUCCCGUCCCCUAAAAACAAAAAAGGUUCAAUAAAGAAGUUGAAAACAUUAAAACAUCAUCCUCAGCCUCUGCAUUUGUAAUAAAUGUAAAGGUUGAAAGUUUUCUGUGGAAAUAGAAUGUUUAAAUUUAUUUUAAUUUUGAUUAACAGCAGCCUCAUUGUGCUUUAACAUGGAAUAUUCUAUUGAACAUUUUACUUAUUUCCUUUUUCUGGAGAGACCAAGGGGCUGAUGGGCCUUUUUGAUCUGCUAUUUUGCUGAUUGAUGACAUUGGUCUCUGUUAGUAGAUAAGUUCCCUCCCAGCUUGAUAGUGCCACUCUCUCUAAAAGACCUACUUCAAUAAGGUGAAGACCCUCAAGGCUGCAAUUUAUGCUGACAAGUUUCCAUCGGAGGUUAACGCUGGUGGAAUUUAUGUAUGAUAAGUUUUUGAAUUUAAUAAAGAGCUCCAUUAUCGUAUCAGUUUAUCUUGCCAAAUGUCAUUCAGAAAGAUGGCAUACUACAUUCAUCUUUCUGAAAUAUUCUUUGAUUACAAAUAAUUGUUUCGCCUAUUAACAGAAGGAGCAUCUAUAUAAUGGUUGAACAAAAUAAAUUUUGUUUAGUAUUAGUUCAAAAAACCAAAGCAAGUUGCUCUGUAAUAAUUAUAGGUUUGCAGCUCCCAAGUUGUAAAUCACGUCUCCUUUCUGAAACUAUAGUUUUUAUUUUUUAGAUUCUUAUUUCAGUUCAGAUGUCAAGCAUUUUGGUCUUUGUUGGUGGUGUAUAUAAUGUAGCAUUAGCUGAGGUUUAAAGAGGGUGAUCUCAUGUUAGGAUUGUGUCAAUUCUUCAACUUUGAUUUAGAGGGUUAUCUCUUGAACCUUGAUUUGGGAACUCUGUGAUCUGAUGUUGCUGAUUUGUUGCUAAAUUUUAGAGGUCCUAACUGACCCUUAUACAUGAUUCUGAGCUGGGAAUAUCCUAUAGUGUGGACUAUGUCCUUUAUAAAAAAAAUAUAUGUGCCAUUGUGUGGACUAUAACAGUUUUUCUUUAAUGUGUGUCUUUCAGGGGUGCUGCAACAAGGAGAGGGAAAAGAUUAAAAAACUGUUCUGAAAACAUAUGAUUAAUGUUAAUUGCCCUUGGGGAUCCCAAUGCUAGCUAUAAUAUAAUGACAUUAUAUGGUUAAAUAGUAUGACAAACUUGGUCAUUUGUUGAAAAUUUUGCAGAUUAAUGAUGGUUGCCAAUGGAGAAAAUGUGGUCAGAAAAUGACAAAAGAGAAUUCAUAUUCACGAGCUUAUUGUUUUUGCACAAGGCUGUUGGAAGAAUAAGAAAAAAGCACAUGUCUGAAAUUAUUCAAUUUCAUAGUGGAUAUUACCGUUUAUUGGAUAAACUUUUUUGUUUCUUAUAGUCUUUUGGUUCAAAUUAAGUGCAUUGGUUAUUUGCUUACCUGUAAAGUAUUACUUUAGGAAGACAAUUUGUUAUGAUUUAAUAAAAUAUUAGUGUUUUAAUUAUAGAAAUAUUUUUAUUGCUUUGAUUAUUAUUAUUAUUAUUAUGAAUGAACCGGUUUAGUUAGUGAUUAUUUUAAAAUCCAUAUUAGUUGUAAUUUAAUUAUACAAAAAAAUGUAGAACUCAAAUUUUGUCAAAUUUUCUGGUGAAGUGUAAAAAUUAAAAAAAAUAGCGGAGGUUAUGACGCCCAGAAAAUGAAGUAAAAAUGUUAUUUGUAAGUUCUAUUCUAAUAAAAAUGUUUAUAUUUGUAAUUGGCUACAUGAAAUUUUAAUUUUCAUGUGCAUUUAUAGGAUACAUUGAAAUAUAUUCUACCCUAAUAAAUUUACAACAAUAUCAAAUAAUUUAAUAUAAAAAUAUCACUUAUUAUAAAAUUACUAAUGUCAUCUAGAACCGCUCUUCGUACAACCACUUCAAUAUUUUAGCACCAUAUGAUAUAUUUAUUUCCUUUAAACAAAAUAAUUUUUAAAUAUUUUAUUAAAAUAUUAUGGUUUAAUAUACUCUAAAAAUAGAAUUAAAAAUUAUAACCUAAAGAAAGAAAUCAAUUCUUAAAGUAACUUACUACGGUGAUUGAAUGAAUUCCAGCAUUAUUAACUGAGUGUAGAUAUUAAGGUUGCCUAUGAUGGUAAACAAAUUAUUUAUAUCCGGUAUUUACAUUAAAUUAUACUAACUUACAGUGUUAAGUUAUAAAUUAAAAAGAAAAUAUGUAACUAAUUAAUUAUUAGUGAUAACAAUGUAUAUAAAUAUAUGUGUCAACUAAUUUCUUUUGAUACCGAUCAUGCAUCGUGCGGAUACGAAUAUUAAUAUAUGUAAAAAAAUAGUUAUUAUCCCGACAGCAGUAGUGGGGAGGUUAAAAAGGUUAUUGGGAGUAGUGUUAGGUCUUUAAAACAUUUCACGUCUCCGCACUCUAAUAGAGUUUCACUUCCUCUCCGAUCAAACCACCAAAUUGAUGGUUAGAGCUUGGUUUCUCUUUCUCUUCGGUAUAUUUGAUUGGAUUUGUUUUGGUUGAAUUCAUUUUUAUUAGUACGGUAAUGAGUUUUGUAAUGCCCUAGCCUAUUGAAUUCACUAAAAGUAAUUAGUACAACUUGUUGUAACUUUACAACUCGUCUUAUUGAAUUCUUUGUCAAGACAUUAGGACUAGCUGAGAAUGAAUAUCUACAUGUUGAAUACACUCUUUUAGUCUUACUAGUAGUCUGUCCAAAAUAUAAGAGAAUAUAACUCUUAGCCUAUUCACCUUCAAUUUGAUUUAAUGACAUAAAAAUAAGUAGAAUCUAUUGUGCAUGAAAGUAGAAUGUUUGCUGUUGAAGGAUUGAUAGCAGAUAUGAGCAGUUGUGAAGGAUGUAUAAUAGGACUUAUCCUAAUCAUUUGUUUGCUGUUGUGAAGCAGUGUUGUCGAAGGCACGCUUAAGCCCUGAAGCGAGGCUCAAAACAUGUUGAGCGCUUCGCCGGGCUUUAUGUGCGCUUUAGGGUCAUCAUCAAGGCUCUAUGACUACUUUUCCUUGCCAAUGACCCUCUCUUGAAGAAGUGACACUAGAUAUAUGAUAUUUCACUUUAUCGUAAUGUUUUUAUAAUUUCUUUGUCCAUAAAUUUGUUAUUCAUGCUUACUGCUAUUAGUCUUGGUCUAAGCAUCUAUAUAUAUAUAUAUAUAUAUAUUUGUAUUUUUGCACCAUUGCGCCUUUUUUCAUUAAAGCCUACACUUUAUUUGCGCUUCGCGCUUAAAGCCCCAACUGACAUUAGAGCUUUUUUGCGCUUUUCGCUUUUGAUAACAUUGUUGUGAAGGAUGUAUACUGGUUUUCUCUCUUUCUCAGUUCUAUGCUCAAUAGGCUCUAUUGCUGAAGCAGAGCUGGAAUAAGAUAGUUACUUUAGGAACCCCUGUUGCUUCGUAAAAGGAUUAACUCUAGCCUACAUAAAUUAGCACCCAUUUCCUUGCAGCUAUUGGCUAUUCUGAUGAAACCUCAUUUAACUGGAAGAAUAGACUAAAAGGUUGAAAACUUAAAGGUGGAUGGAGGUUCUUACAAUUUAAGUUGGUUAAUUAAGAAAUGCACUAGAAGUUCUUAGUUUUUUUUUUUUUUUUUUGAUGACAUGGGAACCCGCAGCCGCUACCCCUCGGGUGUGCACAGGGUAAACCCAGCUCCUGUGCAAUAGCUCGCAAACCACACAGGAGAGGUAACCCGCACUAUAUCCCCAUUUAUUGUUGAAAUGGUGAAGAUUAAGUGUCUGGUGAAGGGUAAGUAAUCCUUAUGUUUUUCCUUAAUUUGUUGAAAGUACAAAAAUUAAGAUGGUUUAAUUUUAAUGCAGGUUCAAUCCCUCAUAUGCCGGGAAUAUGAUUACAGCAUCAUUGAACCAUUUUUCCGUGAUGCUUGGGGUAGAUAGAUACAAGGACUUUCCAUACGAUGUUAGAAUGCUAAUGUGGACUCAGUUUAAGUGUACAUGGCAGUCUCGUUAUGAAAAUGAAAUAAAUACCAUUUUCGACAAGAAAGUAUCUUUGUGGAUUAAAGAACACUUGUAUUGCACACCGGAGAUUCCAUGAGUUUUGCGGGCCACCUACGAAGAUUGCGAAAGUUAAACGGGGGACAGGCUGUGCCUCUUUUUGAGGUCUUCGAGGAGACACAUUAGGAGAAGGAGGACAGUACAAGAGAAGGUUGGUCGAGCCGCGUGCUAAGGAGACGUAUGAAGGAUUUCAAAAAGGUUUGGAAGAUUGGCAUCAGACCCAGCCUGCUUCAGAGGAUGGUACCACAGUCCGACCAUCGCCUGCGGAUAUGACUUCAAUAUGGACACAGGUGGCAGGUGGUCCCAAAAAAGGUAGAGUCUACGGGCUUGGAGUUCUGCGUUCCUCAUCUAGUCCUUCGCCGUUGUUGUCUAAUGCUUCUACUUCGCAAAAUACGAAAGCGAUGCAAAGCCGAAUUGCAGAGCUGAAGCAGAAGUGUGAAACUUCCGAUGCUAAGCUUGCUAAAAUUGAGAAGUUUAUGAGGAAGCACAUGCCUCAAAUGUCUGAUGAUGAGGAAGAGACCGAAUCCGAUGACAAUUAGAUUGUAGUAGCUGGUUAUUGUUUUUUAUUGUGACUUUAGACUUUUUAGACUUAAGUUUCAGGUAGUGAUUGGUUUGGGAUGUUUAAACUAUUUUGAAUUUGAUGUUUCAAAUGUUUAGACUAUUUCUUCAUAUUUGAUUGGUGCAGCUAAUAAAA